rfam:Populus trichocarpa scaffold_13_contig_312, whole genome shotgun sequence.
UAAUCUGUCUGGAGCAUAUCCUUAUCUAGUUAUAACAGACUCACUUCUGAUUGCCCAAAAUUACUUGUUAUCGUAAGCCCAACUAUGUCACUAAUAUCAAGAAAAAACAAAAAAUACAUACUAAUGUCUUAUUCCUCCAAUAAGACA